GCACACUCUGUGGGCACACUUGUCACGCAUGCGCCGUCACCAGAGCGGGGCGCAGCCAAUACUUAGGAAAAUUCCUCUCCAGAAAGGCUACUGCACGGACGGAAUGCGCUUGUUUUUUCCUCUUUGGCAUUAAGGAAAGGUACAAGCACUGAGAGACGCGGCUGGCAUAGUCCUUCUACUUCUCAAGUUCUCGUUCCUAAAACCUGGGCAUUCCAGCUCAUCUGUACUCACGGACACACGCAGAGAGUGUGUAACUAACUCCGUUUGGAUGGGAUCACGUAGACCCCAGAUUGGCAUCCAGUGUGUGAGUUACAAGGAAUAAUGUCUCUUACGCCUCUGAUUUUUGUAAAAUCAUCUAUUACCACAGGGAUAUUAGCUCGCAUUCUGCCUUAACCACGACGUUCUAGUCCCUGCUGGCCAGCCCCGAUCUCCUCCGCAUACACACCUUCGCACAGCUGGAGGCUUGCAGGUUCACGGACGGGUGCCACGGGACAGGAAAGCUCUAGCUGUGAGCACUGAUUUCACAGGUGUGGUCACAGCAGGAGAGAGAGAACCAGGGAAGUCGUCAACAGUUAAAAAAAAAAAAAUGCAGGGAUGUAUGCGGGGUCUUCUCAAAGUCGUUUUUCAGGAGGAAUCACAAUUUACCCACCUAAAUGCCAAUAACCACAAGGGCACAGGCCGGGGCCAAUGGAAGAGGCCCAACCAUGUAUCUUAAGCAUUUCGUGCCAAUAUCUAACCUGGGAGAAACCGGACAGGCCUGGGGCCAGGACGCCCAGGUGGGAGGGGGGCUGUGCUCGGGAACCCAGCCCGGCCGGCCGUCAUGUCCAGUGGCUACAGAGACAUUUCAGUAUUUUAACAACAAUAGGAUGGUCCUGCUCAUCUCUCCCGGAGAUGGCGGUGAGCCCACAGCUCUGAGGCCUUCAGGAAUGAAUUAAAAGUAUCGAUACAGGGGCGCCUGGGUGACUCUCCGUUUCAGCUCUGGUCACAAUCUCAGGGGCAUGGGAUCGAGCCUCAUCAGGGUCCCUGCUCAGCGCUGGGUCUGGUUGUCUCUCCCCCGCCAUUCAUGCUCCCUCUCUUUCUAAAAUAUAAAGAAAAACACCUUUUAAAAGAAUAA